AUUGAACGCUGGCGGCAGGCUUAACACAUGCAAGUCGAACGAGUGGCGGAAGGGUGAGUAAUGUAUGGGGAUCUGCCUGAUGGCGGGGGAUAACUACUGGAAACGGUAGCUAAUACCGCAUACCAUCAGAAGAACCGAUAUGGGAUUAGCUUGUAGGUGGGGUAACGGCUCACCUAGGCGACGAUCCCUAGCUGGUCUGAGAGGAUGAUAAAGAACACUAGGACUGAGACCCGGCCCAGCAGCCUACAGGGGGCAGCAGUGGUGAAUAUUGCAAAAUGGGGGCAAGCCUUAAGCAGCCAAGCCGCGUGUAAGAAUAAGGCCUUCUGGUUGUAAAGUACUUUCAAACGGGUGGCGUUACCGACAGAAGAAGCACCGGCUAAGUCCGUGCCAGCAGCCGCGGUAAUUC
rnacentral:rRNA from 1 species